GGCAAGGUGGCCGAGCGGUUAAGGCGGUAGGUUAAGGUCCUACUCUCAGCAAUGGGGCGCAGGUUCGAAUCCUGCCCUUGUCA